UUCGGAGAUGGCAAGCGUUGUUCGGAAUCACUGGGCGUAAAGCGCGCGUAGGCGGCCGGGCAAGUUGGAGGUGAAAUCCUGUGGCUCAACUGCAGAAUGGCCUGCAAUACUGCUCGGCUUGAGGACGGCAGGGGGGAGCAGAACUCCUGGUGGAGCGGUGAAAUGCGUAGAUAUCAGGAGGAAUGCCGGCGGCGAAAGCGGCUCCCUGGGCCGUUCCUGACGCUGAGUGUGCGAAAGCUAGGGGAGCGAACGGGAUUAGAUACCCCUGUA
rnacentral:rRNA from 1 species